rnacentral:rRNA from 1 species
UACGUAGGGGGCUAGCGUUGUCCGGAUUUAUUGGGCGUAAAGAGCGUGUAGGCGGCUAGGUAGGUCCGUUGUGAAAACUCGAGCUCAACCUCGAGACGCCGGUGGAAACCAUCUAGCUAGAGUCCGGAAGAGGAGAGUGGAAUUCCUGGUGUAGUGGUGAAAUGCGUAGAUAUCGGGAGGAACACCAGUGGCGAAGGCGACUACCUGGCCUGUUCUUGACGCUGAGGCGCGAAAGCUAGGGGAGCAAAGCGGG